rnacentral:tRNA from 1 species
UCUUCCUUGGUCUAGUGGUCAUGAUUUCCGCUUGUCACUAACCUGACAAGUCGCGGGAGACCGGGGUUCGAUUCCCCGAGGGAGAGCAA